ACCAGUCCUGGGAGGCAAAGGAAGUGACAACGGGGAUAAUCAGACACUGGCGGCCAAGGAAGGCGACAGCGGCAGUAUGGGAAGGGAAGCCUGGGUGGGAGCCACAACCACUGCAUCAGUCAGCCCUGCAGGGGAAGCAGCAGCAGAACUGAGAUGUGAGGAAACCCAAAGUGGAGGAGGGGGCUGCAGAAGGGAGAGGACCGAGAAUUUGGAGCCAGGAGACCUGGGUUCUAGUCCCGGCUCUGCCACUGACAACCAGCCGUGCCUCGGCCAGGUCAAGGUGCAGCUGUGGGCCCUGUUUCCUCAUUCGUACAAUGAAAGGGCUGGACAAGAUGAUCUCGAAGGCCCCUUCAACCCCCAUUUCCAGUUUCCAGGGCCUGACUGUGCCUUCUGCCGUGCGUGCUGGUUACAUGGUCUCCGAUAAGUCACUUCGCCUCUCCGUGCCUGAGACAAGGAGGUGACGGGCUCCCGGGGUUCCUUGGUGAGAACUCUGAGGAGGCCAGGACUUUACAUUUAUGCCUAUUAAAUUUCAUCCUGUUGUUUUCAACCUGGAAUGAGAACGGGGAGGAUUCGCUAAUCAGCUCUGACUCAACCAGCACGGGGGCGCUGUCCCCAGAAGAACUGCAAUCCCCGAGAAGGUACAGGGUCCAGAGAAGCCGGACUCUCGGAACUGAGAAGGUGACAGCCGCAGCUGUGAGGGGCCCUGGCCAGCUCUGCCUUCUGUUUGCCCAACAGCAGAACACAGGAGACAGCUCUUAUUACCAGAGUCCUAUCAGGAAGGAGGGGGAGUACCACGCUUUCACACAGCCCCUUCUCAAGGCCUCCACCGCAUUCCUCCCCAGAAAUGUGUUUCAUUUCUUCAACAUAAACACAAAUCAGAUUUAUUACAUUCCGCUGAUAUUUCCAGGAUGGGGAUUGAGAAAGCUGCAUUUCCUGGGGACAAAAGGCAUUUGUGCGUAAGUGUGCAAAGAAAAGGAGAGAAAAGCGAAAACUACCUCUCAGUCUCUGGGUCCAGAGACUGGGGGCCAUUGUCAAAAGCCUUUAGGCAAGAGAAACUUUAUGCAAUCUGUCCUACAGUGGCUGCAGGGCACCGAGGCAGAUUUAAGGAUAGGGUUUAAGAUCAGGUGUGCGGCCAGACUUAAAACUUGCCCGGCCACAGUCUGCAGAGCCUCGCGCAUAAAGUCUAUCUCCCCUGAGGUCAGACACAGCAAUUCCACAAACCCUUUCUGGUACCCUGAAUGGCCCAACGAGGAGGGAAACUCAUCUUGGCCUGUCCUCAGCAGACAAGAAUACAUGCACAAUCCUGUAGGACAAGCACUCUGUACCCUGGAAGGUGGUAGGGAAGCGGCUGGGGGCUGGGUUCUCACUCAGCCCUCCAGUUCUUCGUACUUCUCCCAAGCUGGAUGAAGCAGCACCCGCAGAGGGAUUCCUGGGGAAUGCAGGCAGGAAAAGGAAGCAGUUGGGGGAAGGGCAGGACAAAUGAGUCUCAGAGAAGGGAGGACUGGGAGCAAGAGCCAAUGUGACAUCAUGGGACAAGUACGAGCGCUAGAGCCGGACAGACUACUCAAAUUCCAGCCCCACUGCUUCCUGUGUGGCUUUGUGCAGAUUACUUAACCUUUCUGAGCUUCAGCUACCACAACUGCAGAAGGGAGGGAAUGAAGGGGACCAUCCCUAAGGUUCUUCUAGCAAUGAUACCCGGGUUCUAGCCAGGAACGUCCGCGUCUUUGGUGAGCACUAUUUAAACCUUUCCCCAGACAUUCAGAGGAACUGCAAUACAGUAAGCCAUCGAGUUCCCUUUUACCUACUGGGUCUUCGCAGCAGGCAGGCAAAUACAAGUCUAGAUUAAACAGAUAUUGCCUGACAUGGCCCCCUGUCUUCGGGGACCCACCCAAACCUGCCCUAAAGCCCUCAGAGGCCCCAGCUCCUCACCUCCCCUCCUGCUCUGGGGGCACUAACAAGAAGGAACUGGAUUCAACUCCUGCCCAAGCUCAGUGGGCACCCCAGCUGCCAGGCACCUGGAGGAAAAAAGCCAGCACCAGCCAGAGCCUCCCAAGCCCAGAGAGCCCAUGGGCACCUGGCAGAUGUCCCUGCCUCUGCAGACUGGCCUGGUUCAGCAGCUUCUCAAAGUCAACAAAGGAAGGUUUUCAAAUCCGAAAAGGCUUCUCAAGCCCCUUCUAAUCUGUCUGCCAUUUUGUUUCGUCUGCUCAGAUCAAGUCAAGGGGAACUUGACAUUUGGAAUACUAACUGCAAAUAAUCCCACACCAAGGACAGGGCUGGCAUGCUGCAGUGUCAGCAUGUGGUUCGCAAGGAUGGUGGGGACACUCCGAGACACUCCAGCUAUCUGCAGAGGGUCCCCAGAAGGCAGAUGUCGUGUCAGGCCCCUUGGCCAUCUGCAGGAGGACCACGCAGAACCGUCAGCUACCCCAGGGGCAGGACUGCACUGUAUUCACUGGCCUCCUCAACACCCCUCCCAGGGCGUGGUGGUAGAGAGAGGCUCUGCUGGAUGCUCGGUUGGCAGAAACUACGUCACAUACUUGAACGCAUAUAAACAGUGGAAGCGGAAAGGACAAGGAACCAGUACUCUUGCAAGGUCUAGAUGUGAGCCCCUGCUCUGAAGUAGCCCUGACAUGCCGGGCUGCCUCCAGCUAAGUGCUCUGCUCUGUAUACUUCCAUUCUCCAACAGAUCCCACAGUCGGUCUUCACGGAGGGAUCACCAGCAGCCUUGUCACCCCCAGGCCACAUGCCUCAAUCAGCAGGAUACGCAGGUAGACCAGAUGCCCGAUCCCAUGACACACGCUCGGGCUUGGUGCACACGCCGGGGCGCAGGCUUUGGGGAACCAUUUGUUUUAACCCCUUCUAUGCCAUAACCCACUCUGGUCUGCCCUUUUAGCAGGAAGAGGUGCCGGAAGUGCCAAGAGGCCCGGAGAGGCAGAGACUUCAAGGGCAGGCUUUGUGUGGCUGACCUCCCAUCUCUGACCUCUGAAGCAACAAGGGCUUGGCUGACACACGGCAUUUUUUUCUCAAACUUUUCAAAGACCGCGCGCCCUUUGGGUAUAAAAAUAAAAUCCCAGGACCUCAACUGGGUAAUAAAAUAAGAUACAAUGACUAUAACUACUCAUAAUAUCAUGUAUGUAUACAAAUGAAGCCCUGUGGCAAAUAAAACCAAAAUACAUACUUGGAA